rnacentral:tRNA from 1 species
GCGGAUGUGGCGGAAUUGGUAUACGCGCAUGGCUUAGGACCAUGUGGGGCAACUCAUGGAGGUUCGAGUCCUCUCAUCCGCA